UACGGGGGGGGCAAGCGUUGUUCGGAAUUACUGGGCGUAAAGGGUGCGUAGGUGGCGGGGUAAGUCUGGUGUGAAAGCUCCGAGCUCAACUCGGAAAAGCAUUGGAAACUAUCCCGCUUGAGGGUCGGAGGGGAGACUGGAAUUCUCGGUGUAGCAGUGAAAUGCGUAGAUAUCGAGAGGAACACCAGUGGCGAAGGCGAGUCUCUGGACGACUCCUGACACUGAGGCACGAAAGCUAGGGGAGCAAACAGG
rnacentral:rRNA from 1 species